rnacentral:rRNA from 1 species
AUGAACGCUGGCGGCGUGCUUAACACAUGCAAGUCGAACGGAAAGGCCCAAGCUUGCUUGGGUACUCGAGUGGCGAACGGGUGAGUAACACGUGGGUGAUCUGCCCUGCACUUCGGGAUAAGCCUGGGAAACUGGGUCUAAUACCGGAUAGGACGAUGGUUUGGAUGCCAUUGUGGAAAGUUUUUUCGGUGUGGGAUGAGCUCGCGGCCUAUCAGCUUGUUGGUGGGGUAAUGGCCUACCAAGGCGUCGACGGGUAGCCGGCCUGAGAGGGUGUACGGCCACAUUGGGACUGAGAUACGGCCCAGACUCCUACGGGAGGCAGCAGUGGGGAAUAUUGCACAAUGGGCGCAAGCCUGAUGCAGCGACGCCGCGUGGGGGAUGACGGCCUUCGGGUUGUAAACUCCUUUCGCUAGGGACGAAGCGUUUUUGUGACGGUACCUGGAGAAGAAGCACCGGCUAACUACGUGC